rnacentral:rRNA from 1 species
GCAGGUUGAAGCGCGGGUAAGACCGCGUGGAGGACCGAACCCACCUGGGUUGAAAACCGGGGGGAUGACCUGGGGCUAGGGGUGAAAGGCCAAUCAAAUUCCGUGAUAGCUGGUUCUCUCCGAAAUGCAUUUAGGUGCAGCGUCGGUCGAUUGCGUCGCGGGGGUAGAGCUACCGGAUGCUUGCGGGCCCUUGUUGGGUACCAACAGCAGCCGAACUCCGAAUACCGUUGACGUGUAUUCCGGCAGUGAGUCGGCGGGGGAUAAGCUCCGUCGUCGAGAGGGAGACAGCCCAGACCGUCGUCUAAGGUCCCGAAGCGUGUGCUAAGUGGGAAAGGAUGUGGAGUCGCAUAGACAGCCAGGAGGUUGGCUCAGAAGCAGCCAUCCUUGAAAGAGUGCGUAACAGCUCACUGGUCUAGUGGUUCCGCGCCGACAAUGUAGCGGGGCUCAAGCACACCACCGAAGACGCGGCAGCAAUCUUCAUGGUUGCUGGGUAGGAGAGCGUCCUGCGAGGGGCGAAGCGGCCGGGUAACCGUGCCGUGGACUUCGUGGGAGUGAGAAUGCAGACAUGAGUAGCGAGAGACGGGUGAGGAUCCCGUCCGCUGGAUGACCAAGGGUUCCGGGGCCACGUUCGUCGUCCCCGGGUGAGUCGGGUCCUAAGGCGAGGCCGACAGGCGUAGUCGAAUGGAUGAACGGGUGGAUAUUCCCGUACCGACCAUGGACCGGCAAAACCGAGACGGUGAGUACUAACCUCCGCCUCGUGGUGGUUCCUUCCUUCGGGUUGGUUCCGCCGCGUGGUGUUGGGAGCGUAGCCGUAGUAGGUCAGCGCAGGGGUGACACGGAAUGGGAGCCGGCCGCGGAGGUGGUUUUCCGUGGUCAAGCACGCAGCCCGUCCCAUAGGCAAAUCCGUGGGGCAUGCAGGGUGAGGUGCGAUGAUGGGCGCCUUUCAGGCGCGAUAUCCGGUGGUCCAGGCCGUCGAGAAAAGCCUCGGCGCGAGGGGCGUUGCCGCCCGUACCCCAAACCGACACUGGUGGUCAGGUAGAGAAUACCAAGGCGAUCGAGCGAAUCCUGGUCAAGGAACUCGGCAAAUCACUCCCGUGCCUUCGGUAUAAGGGAGACCCGCUGGGGUGAACCGGCUAGCCCGGGGAGCUUUGGUGGGUGGCACAGACCAGGGGGUAGCGACUGUUUACCAAAAACACAGGUGCAUGCGAAGGCGCAAGCCGCUGUAUAUGCACUGACGCCUGCCCGGUGCCGGAAGGUUAAGAGGAUCCGUCAGCCCUCGGGUGAAGCGGUGAAUUCAAGCCCCGGUAAACGGCGGUGGUAACUAUAACCAUCCUAAGGUAGCGAAAUUCCUUGUCGGGUAAGUUCCGACCUGCACGAAUGGCGUAACGACUUCCCCACUGUCUCGACCAGGAGCUCGGCGAAAUUGCAGUACGAGUAAAGAUGCUCGUUAAGCGCAGAAGGACGAAAAGACCCCGGGACCUUUACUAUACCUUGGUAUUGGCGUUAGGCGCGGAUUGUGUAGCAUAGGCGGGAGGCUUCGAAGCGGGUGCGCCAGCAUUCGUGGAGCCGCAAGGUGAAAUACCGCUCUGUUCUCGUUUGACGUCUAACCUCGAACAGUCAUCCUGUUCAGGGACAGUGCCUGGCGGGUAGUUUAACUGGGGCGGUUGCCUCCCAAAGAGUAACGGAGGCGCUCAAAGGUCCGCUCAGCCCGGUUGGCAAUCGGGUGUCGAGUGUAAUCGCACAAGCGGGCUUGACUGCGAGGACGACGGUCCGAGCAGGGACGAAAGUCGGAGAUAGUGAUCCGGUGCCGGCGCACGGGCGCGGCAUCGCUCAACGGAUAAAAGGUACCCCGGGGAUAACAGGCUGAUCAUUCCCAAGAGUCCAUAUCGACGGGAUGGUUUGGCACCUCGAUGUCGGCUCGUCGCAUCCUGGGGCUGGAGCAGGUCCCAAGGGUUCGGCUGUUCGCCGAUUAAAGCGGCACGCGAGCUGGGUUCAGAACGUCGUGAGACAGUUUGGUCUCUAUCCUCUGCGCUCGUUGGAAUCCUGAGGAGGCCUGCCCAUAGUACGAGAGGACCUGGGUGGACGAACCUCUGGUAUGCCGGUUGUC